GCCCCCUGUGAAAGCAAACAUGAGAACUGGCUACGCUGAAUUUGGAGAAGGUUGAGGUUCUUAAUGACUUCUUUGCCUCAGUCUUCACUAGCAAAUGCU